rnacentral:lncRNA from 1 species
GAACAGGUGGACAUGUGGGUAUGUGGACAGUGGACAUGUGGGCAUGUGGGCAGGUGGGCAGGUGGGCAGGUGGGCAGGUGGACAGGUGGACAUGUGGGCAGGUGGGCAGGUGGGCAGGUGGGCAGGUGGGCAGGUGGACAGAUGGGAAUGUGGUCAGGUGAGCAGAGCACUGGGAAUCACAUCAUGUAGGAUGAUAAGGUUGUGAAGAUGUAGAUGAAAAAAACUACACAUGGUCCAAGAUUGAACCUUGGUGGCUUCCCUCAUUUAUACCCGAGAGAAAAAGCAGAUUUGACAAAGAAAUAAAAAGGAGAGAAAAGAGUAAUCUGGACACUUGAAAAGUGUCAGAUAGGCAGGAAUAUAUGGACCCACCCUGAUUUUUCAAUUAGUCAUCUGCGUUUGGCUUGUGGUUGGAAAUGUGAGUGCUCAGCUAUGCUUCCCGAUGAAGUCUGCUUCUUGCACCUGCCUCCAUGCCUGUGGCUGGCUGAUAUGUAUCCCUGCCAGGAUGAACUCUUACCUCUCAGGAGCCAUAAGUCCAUACAAACUCUUUCUUCUGAAA